rnacentral:rRNA from 1 species
CAAUAGCGUAUAUUAAAGUUGUUGCAGUUAAAAAGCUCGUAGUUGGAUUUCUGGUGGGAGCGAUCGGUCUGGCGCUUAGCGCGAGUACUUGCAUCGUCUCCGGCCAUCCUUGGGGAGAGUCUGUCUGGCAUUAAGUUGUCGGGCAGAGGAUCCUCAUCGUUUACUGUGAAAAAAUUAGAGUGUUCAAAGCAGGCUUAUGCCGUUGAAUAUAUUAGCAUGGAAUAAUAAGAUAGGACUUUGGUACUAUUUUGUUGGUUUGCGCACCAAAGUAAUUAUUAAUAGGGACAGUUGGGGGUAUUCGUAUUCCGUUGUCAGAGGUGAAAUUCUUGGAUUUACGGAAGACGAACUACUGCGAAAGCAUUUACCAAGGAUGUUUUCAUUAA